UACGAAGGGGGCUAGCGUUGCUCGGAAUCACUGAGCGUAAAGCGCACGUAGGCGGAUUGCUAAGUCAGGGGUGAAAUCCUGGAGCUCAACUCCAGAACUGCCUUUGAUACUGGCGACCUUGAGUCCGGGAGAGGUGAGUGGAACUGCGAGUGUAGAGGUGAAAUUCGUAGAUAUUCGCAAGAACACCAGUGGCGAAGGCGGCUCACUGGCCCGGUACUGACGCUGAGGUGCGAAAGCGUGGGGAGCAAACAGG
rnacentral:rRNA from 1 species